AGCAGUCGCCACGGUAAUACGGAGGGUGCGAGCGUUAAUCGGAAUUACUGGGCGUAAAGCGUACGCAGGCGGUUUGUUAAGUCAGAUGUGAAAUCCCCGAGCUUAACUCGGGAACUGCAUUUGAAACUGGCAGGCUAGAGUCUCGUAGAGGGGGGUAGAAUCCCAGGUGUAGCGGUGAAAUGCGUAGAGAUCUGGAGGAAUACCGGUGGCGAAGGCGGCCCCCUGGACGAAGACUGACGCUCAGGUACGAAAGCGUGGGGAGCAAACAGGAUUAGAUACCCGCGUAGUCCCUGUCUCUUAUAC
rnacentral:rRNA from 1 species